UUGCUUUGGUAGCACAUAUACUAAAACUGAAAUGAUAAAGAAAUUAGCAAUAGUCCCCACGCAAGGAUGACAUGCAAGUUAGUGAAGCAUUCUAUAUUAUA
ensembl:snRNA U6 U6 spliceosomal RNA